GCCAUCAUAGCAUAGUGGUUUAAGUGUUGGACUGUGACUCUGGAGACCAGGGUUUGAAUCCCAGCUCAGCCA
rnacentral:tRNA from 1 species